rnacentral:misc_RNA from 1 species
UAAUAAUAAAAAAUAAUAAAACGAACGAAUUUACAAAUCUUAACGAAACGCGCGAAAAUUUAACGAAACAACAACAACAACACGCAAUGGCUUGUUAAACAACAACAACAACGGCAACGGAAAUGAGUGCCUCAUCAGAGUGCGAGACGGCAACGAAUCCAAGCGAAUUAUCAACGGCAGCAGCCAAGGGCAACAGUUGAACGACAACAACAGCUUGAAGUGGAAGAAGAA